rnacentral:SRP_RNA from 1 species
CGAGUGAUGCCGGCCAGGCCCGGAAGGGAGGGCGCAGCGGAUCGUCCACAGAUG